rnacentral:rRNA from 1 species
UUAGGAAUCUUCCACAAUGGGCGAAAGCCUGAUGGAGCGACGCCGCGUGAGGGAUGAAGGCCUUAGGGUUGUAAACCUCUAAAAGAGGGACGAUAAUGACGGUACCUCUUGAAUAGCACCGGCUAACUCCAUGCCAGCAGCCGCGGUAAUACGGAGGGUGCAAGCGUUAUCCGGAAUCACUGGGCGUAAAGGGCGCGUAGGCGGUCUGUUAAGUCCGAUGUUAAAUCCCGGGGCUCAACCCCGGAUCAGCGUUGGAUACUGGCAGGCUAGACGGUUGGGGAGGCGAGUGGAAUUACCAGUGUAGCGGUGAAAUGCGUAGAUACUGGUAGGAACACCCAUUGCGAAGGCAGCUCGCUGGACAACACGUGACGCUGAGGCGCGAAAGUGUGGGGAGCAAACC